rnacentral:rRNA from 1 species
GGCUUGUAGAUUAUAAUUUCAAGUCUGACCUGCUCAAUGAGGAAUUAAAUAGCCGCGGUAUAUUGACCGUGCAAAGGUAGCAUAAUCGUUAGUUUUUUAAUUGAAAGCUUGAAUGAAAGGUUUAAUGAGAGAAUUUCUGUCUCUAUGAAAAUUUAUUAGAAUUUUAUUUUUAAGUGAAAAAGCUUAAAUAAAUAUAGAAGACGAGAAGACCCUAUAGAGUUUUAUAUUUGUAAAGAAUUGAAUUUUUAGAAUUUUAUGUUUAAUUUUUAAAAAGUAUUUUAUUGGGGUGAUUAAAAAAUUAAUAUAACUUUUUUUACACGUAAACAUUUAUUUAUGAAUAUUUGAUCCUAAAGUUUAGAUUAUAAGAAAAAAUUACCUUAGGGAUAACAGCGUAAUUUUUUCUAGAGUUCUUAUCGAAGAAAAGGAUUGCGACCUCGAUGUUGGAUUAAAUUAAAUUAUUGGUGUAGAAGCUAAUAUUUUAGGUCUGUUCGACCUUUAAAAUUUUACAUGAUCUGAGUUUAAACCGGUGUGAG